rnacentral:rRNA from 1 species
AUUGAACGCUGGCGGCAUGCCUUACACAUGCAAGUCGAACGGUAACAGGUCUUCGGAUGCUGACGAGUGGCGAACGGGUGAGUAAUACAUCGGAACGUGCCUAGUAGUGGGGGAUAACUACUCGAAAGAGUGGCUAAUACCGCAUGAGAUCUACGGAUGAAAGCAGGGGAUCGCAAGACCUUGUGCUACUAGAGCGGCCGAUGGCAGAUUAGGUAGUUGGUGGGAUAAAAGCUUACCAAGCCGACGAUCUGUAGCUGGUCUGAGAGGACGAUCAGCCACACUGGGACUGAGACACGGCCCAGACUCCUACGGGAGGCAGCAGUGGGGAAUUUUGGGCAAUGGGCGAAAGCCUGAUCCAGCAAUGCCGCGUGCAGGAUGAAGGCCUUCGGGUUGUAAACUGCUUUUGUACGGAACGAAAAGCCCCGGGUUAAUACCCUGGGGUCAUGACGGUACCGUAAGAAUAAGCACCGGCUAAUUACGUGCCAGCAGCCGCAGUAA